GCUGCGCAACGAGGUGUUGUCCAAGAGUCGGGUUGCUUGGGAAUGCAGCCCCAAYUGGGUGGUAAGUCCCAUCCAAGCCUAAAUAUGUGCGAGGGACCGAUAGCGAAGAAGAACCGCGAGGGAAGGAUGAAAAGAACUUUGAAAAGAGAGUGAAAGAGUGCUUGAAAUUGCCGAGUGAGAAGCGGAUGGAGGGGAAGUCGUGCGCUCCCGUCUGGGCAGGGGUGGACGGCGAAUGUGUUGUCGCCCCCCUUGUUGGACGUGGGGUGCCUGCUAGCAUGGGCUGCUGUGACCGGCAUUGCGGUGGGGAGCGAUUGAAACCGCCCACGGGUGGUCGUCACGGCAAUCGAGAACCUUGAGCACACGCCUCUUUCGGCGGGCCCGUUCGGGUUCCUACGUGUUCGGGAUGCUGGCGAAAUUCCUCUAUCCUGCCCAUCUUGAAACACGGACUUAGGAGUUCAACGUGCAUGCGAGCCGAUGGGUGAUUAGCCCACGAGGCGGAGGAAACCUGAGUGGCGGGAACCCUCUGCGGGUGCACCGUCCUCUAAGUUGAACCACGAUCUGCUGGGAGAGGUUUGAGUGUGAGCAUGCCCGUUGGGACCCGAAAGAUGGUGAACUAUGCCCUGAGCAGGGCGAGGCCAGAGGAAACUCUGGUGGAGGCUCGCUGCGAUACUCACGUGAUAAUCGUUUGUUGGACUUGGGUAUAGGGGCGAAAGACUAAUCGAACUGUCUAUUAGCUGGUUCCCUCCGAAGUUUCCCUCAGGAUAGCUGGAGCUGUUGAACAGUUUUAUCGGGUAAAGCGAAUGAUUAGAGGCCUCGGGGGUGAAACACCCUCGACCUAUUCUCAAACUUUAAAUAGUUAAGAUUUCGGGGUUGCUUAAGCGAACCCCGAGGAUCAAUGAAAGCUUCAAGUGGGUCAUUUUUGGUAAGCAGAACUGGCGAUGCGGGAUGAACCGAAAGUCGAGCUACGGUGCCAAACUGCGCGCUAACCCAGACACCACAAAGGGUGCUGAUUGAUACAGACAUUAGGACGGUGGUCAUGGAAGUCGAAAUCCGCUAAGGAGUGUGUAAGAACUCACCUGCCGAAUCAAUCAGCCCCGAAAAUGGACGGCGCUGAAGCGCGCGACCUAUGCUCAGCCGUCGCGGUGAUUCUGACGCCGCGACGAGUAGGAGGGCGUAACAGCCAUUUCGUCAAAACGGACAUAUUAUAUUUUUUGAACGAAAUCAAAACUGACUUAUUUUGCCAAAAUCCGGUCAGAAUUUUUUGCUCCUGGGGGUCCGGCAUUCCCAAAACGCCGGACCCCUUACAUGUAUCUGGUCUAUGAUUGAGACCAGAUACCAAAAAAAAAAUAAAAAAAUUAAUAAAAUUGUAUCUGGUUUCAACCAUAGACCAGAUACAUCUAGGGGGUCCGGCGUUUUGGGAACGCCAGAGCCCCAGGAGCAAACAAUUCCGACCGGGUUUUGGCAAAAUAAGUCAGUUUUGAUUUCGUUCAAAAUAUAUAAUAUGUCCGUUUUGACGAAAUGGCUGUUGCGUGGGGCCUGUUGCAAAGCGUGGAGCGUGAGCCUAGGUGAAGCGGGUCCCGGUGCAGAUCUUGGUGGUAGUAGCAAAUAUUCAAAUGAGAACUUUGAAGACCGAAUAGGAGAAGGGUUCCAUGUGAAGAGCGCUUGGUCAGUCGGCCCUACGAGAUGUGGAAACCUUGUAUCAAGGGCGCACUCGCACAUCGAAAGGGGGUCGGGUAAAUAUUCCUGAACCGGGUUGUGGAGGUGGACGGUAACGUAAGCAGCUCCGAAGAUGCCGGCGGGGGCCAUGGGGAGGGUUCUCUUUCCUUCUUGACGGCUCGCCCACCCUGGAAUCGGAUCAACCAGAGAUAGGGUGCAGCGCCCGGCAAUGCACCGCGCGUCCUGUGGUGUCCAGCGUGCCCCCGAUGGCCUUUGAAAAUCUGGAGCUGCGGGUACCUCUCACGCCCGGCCGUACUCAUAAAUGUAGGUGAGGGAAGUCGGCAAUAUGGAUCCGUAACCUUAGGAAAAGGAUUGGCUCUGAGGGCUGGGCCUACGGGUCUGCGCCUCGAUGUCGUUGGCUGCCGGUGGUCAGCCCGAGCUGCUCUCGCGGUGAGGCCAGAGCCCUCGUGCAAGUGUGUCGACGGGCGUAGAAUGUCUUAUGUCCCCACCUUUCGGGUGGGGCCGUGGGACUCUCCCUAAGCAUCAAACUAUCGACUCGGAACUGGUGCGGACAAGGGGAAUCCGACUGUUUAAUUAAAACAAAGCAUUACGAUGGUUCGAACGGAUGUUGACGCAAUAUGAUUUUUGCCCUGUGCUCUGAAUGUCAAAGUGAAGAGAUUCAACCAAGCGCGGGUAAACGGCGGGAGUAACUAUGACUCUCUUAAGGUAGCCAAAUGCGUCGUCAUCUAAUUAGUGAUGCGCAUGAAUGGAUUAAUGAGAUUCCCACUGUCCCUAUCUACCAUCCUGCGAAACCACAGCCAAGGGAACGGSCUUGGAAGAAUCGGCGGGGAAAGAAGACCCUGUUGAGCUUGACUCUAGUUCGACUCUGUGAAAUGACUUGAGAGGUGAAGAAUAAGUGGUAGCCUUACAGCGCAAGUGAAAUACCACUACUUUUAACGUUAUUUUACUUAUUUCGUGAGGUGGAGCCGGGGGUUUGCCCCUACUUCUCGAUCCAAGGUGGAGGCCCUCGUGGCCUGUCCGAUCCAAGUGAAAGACAUUGUCAGGUGGGGAGUUUGGUUGGGGUGGCACAUCUGUUAGAAGAUAACGCAGGUGUCCUAAGAUGAGGUCAACAAGAACAGAAAUCUUGUGUGGAGCAAAAUGGCGGAUGGCCCAGUGGUUAGGGCACCGGUUGGAAAUGCACAUUGUGGUCUGAGGUUGCGGGUUCAAAUCCGCAACCUCGUGCAUAUGUCGUCGGCACGGCGUUAGGUUGACGCACUACCACUCACCCACUGAGUGCGCACACUCCCAGGGGUACGGCAGUACACAGGGCUCUACAACUCUAGACUUGGGGAGCCACCUGCAAGGGUGCCCACUGGAUGCUGAU
rnacentral:rRNA from 1 species